GAGGGAUGUGCACUGGGCAGCAGACAUCAGACACGGAGGGACUGUGUUCGAAGGGUGCCGUGAGCUGCUGCUUUAUUUAACAUGGAUUUUCGCUUAACAAGACAGUGACACGGUGCGUGGCUGCUUGCGUGUGCUGAUGCAAGCUUGCUGCCUGCUGGGAGGUGCCUGGGAAGGCAGCCAGCUGCUCCUGAGGACCACCAUGGCUCCAGCAUUGACACAAAAGUAGAGAGAAGACAGAAAAGCAGGAAGACCACCACCACCACCACCACCACCACCAGCACAGUGAGAGAAAGGAUAGAGACAAGCAGUGAAAGUUAAUAAAUGCACUGAUGGGUGUGGCGUUCGACACAGGUUUCACCAUUAGUCUGACUGUGGGGGCUGCAUUCUCCCACUGGGGAAGUACUGGCUGGUUGGUGGCCUUGGCUGUCUACCCACUCACUCUUCCUGUGGCUGACAUACUGUUCUUUGCUCUCUUCUUCCAGGAAUUGUUGCCCGAGGGACUGACAGAGAUAAGAAAGUGAAUGAUGUGCAUCUGAGUGUGUGACUGCCAGCCUGGUGUAAGUCACACCAUCACCCAGUCACCUGAUGACUCGCCUGGCAUCACCUGCAGAGCUGUGAGAGGCAGGAGCACGGAAGGGGAGGUGUUCACAAGACAUGUCAACACCACCAGUGUGAGGGGAAGUGUAUGGUGAGCCAUACUGGUGCUGCAUGCAACUCCUGUGCUGACCUGGGAGGGAAGGCAGGUGAGAGACCAGACUGACCUACGGAAGGACUGUUACUCUGGGAGAGACACCUGACAGACGCCUUACAGCACACAACACUUGGGACACACUCCCCAAGCCGUAUCAUAGACACUGCAGUCGUGAUAUACUCGUACCUCUAAUCCUGGUGAC